rnacentral:rRNA from 1 species
UGCCAGCAGCCGCGGUAAUACGUAGGGUGCAAGCGUUAAUCGGAAUUACUGGGCGUAAAGCGUGCGCAGGCGGUCUUAUAAGUCAGAUGUGAAAUCCCCGAGCUCAACUUGGGAACUGCGUUUGAAACUAUAAGACUAGAGUGUAUCAGAGGGGGGUAGAAUUCCACGUGUAGCAGUGAAAUGCGUAGAUAUGUGGAGGAAUACCAAUGGCGAAGGCAGCCUCCUGGGAUAACACUGACGCUCAUGCACGAAAGCGUGGGGAGCAAACAGGAUUAGAUA